rnacentral:lncRNA from 1 species
AUUGGAGGCCUGUUUUUCUGUGAAAUAGGAACCAAGGUGAACUGAGGGCAGGGAAUAUUACUACCAUAAGACAAACUGAAGUCCCAGAAAGUCUAUUCCUUCCUAGGAAGAUCUCCAGCUUUGCUCAGGAAGUACAGGAUGUAAAAUCAACCCUCUUCCUCCAAGAAAGAGAAAUACCAAAAAGGACCCCAAUCCAUAAGCGUUCACAUCAAGGCCAGGCCUGGACCUAGAAGCAGAACUUGGGAGAGCAAGUGGAGUAGAGGGCCAAAGUGAAUAGAGAAGCUAAAGAAAAGGCAUUCUGCUACAAGGAUACUCAGAAUUCAUCUCAGCCAUCUGGAGUCGGUCAUAUGUCUUUCUGAAUCAGGAACUAAUGAAUCCCAGCACCUUGCCGGAUGCAGAGGAGGCUCAAACGUUGCUUGAUGACGGACGACACAGAAUUGGCUGUGGGGAGGCCAGCCUGGAGCUCACUAGUAGAGGAGUCUGUGCAAGGUGAAGGAUGGUG